CCGAGGGAAGUAAGGCGAGCCCCGACUCCAGAGGUGGUGAGACAAGUUCACGUGUACGAGUUUCCAUGGAAGCCAUGUGACUUGAGUGCGUGAGUUGAGCACUGAUGACAUUCCUUGAUUCAAGCCGUCACAUGUGUGACUAUUUAGGAUUCAGUGACCUUUGGUGAUGUGCCUGUGGACUUCACCUUGGAGGAAUGGACUUUUCUGGACCCCUCAGAGAACCUUACACAGAGAUGCAGAACUGGAACCCGAGUGCAGUGGGUUAUCAACUCCUUAAACCCAGUCUGACCCAUGGUCGGAGCGAGAAGAGUUGAGGACAAUGGAGAGAGGGACUCCUCAG